rnacentral:lncRNA from 1 species
AUGGGGUUGCGUCUCACCUGCGGCUCCCGAGGAGCUGGGCAGACCAGUCCCUGCCCAUCUCCUCCUGGGGCUGAGGUGGCUUCCAGGUCUCACGUGUCUCCAUGCCGCGCUGCGGAGCUGAUGGGGGAGAGGGCAGAUGUGGGAUUGCUCUGCCCAGAGCCUUCGUGUUCGUCUCGGGACAGAGCAGCUCUUCCUGCCCAUCCUGGAGAAUUUGGGCAGCAGAAUUCCCAUCAGGGCAGCGCUGCUCCUUCCUCCGCCGUGUGCACCCCCCGGAGGGCUGUCCCGCGGGCGGGUGGCCAAGGCUCACGGGGACGAAACCACAGCACGAUGGGGCGCAGCAUUGCUGGCGUUUGGCUUUGGGCAGCUGCAGGGUGGCCCUGGACCCGGUGCCCCCCAGGGCUGGCGCGAGGGGCCGGGAGCCGUCGCCCGCUUCCCCCUGCCCCUCCGCGCGCCUUCUCCGGGGCUCCCGGCCGAGCCCACGGCCCCCGCGACGGGGCAGCGUGGGUGACGCACCCUGGGGCACGGGGAGGGCGGUGGAAAGCGGGAGCCCCCCAAAUUCACAUGCCGGCUCUCCGCAGCGAGGCGCUUCCGUUGAUGCUGCAGCAACUUGUGCGCAGCCCGGCCAGGACAGGCGGCCGGCUCAUCCCGCGGCGGGGAGCCCCGCUCCGGAAAGGGGGAGCGAGGGGAGCAGCGGUGGCGGCGGCAGCGGCUCUGUGCCGCGGCGGCGGCUGCCACGAGAUGGAGGCAUCGGCCAGCGCCUGCCCGCGCGCUCGGGGCCUUCCCGCAGGGCUGGGCCUGGCCAAGCCGCAGGGACAUCACCGUCCCCGUCCCCAGUGCGGUGGGCUCACGGCCCCCUCCCCAAAUCCCUGCUGCGCCAAAAGGGGCCCAGGCGUCCUGCCCUCCCAGCCAUGCUCCGCCGGGGGGGGGGUAUGGAGGAUGUCCUGCGGCAGCACCGUUCGGUGGCAGGGUCUCGGCUCGGCGCGGGCGGCCGGGAUUAGGGGACAGGGCAGAGGCCUGGCACCGGGCGCCGGUGGCGGAGCCGAAGGCUUGGCUGGGGGGAGGCUGUUUCACCCCUCCCCGCAGGGCGAUGGGGGGGGGACCGGUGGCCUCUCCGGAUAUGUUCCCUAA